rnacentral:lncRNA from 1 species
AUUAACCAAUUUAAAGUCCUGUAAACUCAGGUGCAACCAAUCAUAACGAGCUUGAGGAAGUAUGGUAAAUUUUUGGAAGUCAUAUCUUUCUUUUAGAUUUCUCCAUAGAACAAAAGAAUAUUUUAUUAUGAGAUAUUCGACUUUCAAUCCUUUAUGGAGAUGGUGACGAAUGAAAAUCAUUAUUUUUGUGCAAUCCUACAAGGAUACACUAUUUCUUUGAUG